AGUAGAAGAAAGUAGUCCUAUGAAAUUUAAGAGGCUGAGUCCUUAAGUCUAUGGUCAUAGCAGUGUGAUUGAUGGAAAAAAAUUUUCAUAGAAUCACAUAUGGACUUAAGCUGAUUUAAUCUAUCAUAUGAUCGAUGUUGAGAUUUGACGAUUUAUCUAUGACCUGUCAUCUAGUCGGGACUCACGAUAAAAGAACUGAAUCACACGUUAACUACACCUAGAGAUUUAUUUCAGUUCUACUGGAUUGCAACUACAUACUGCUAGCUGUCAC
rnacentral:lncRNA from 1 species